UGGGGCAUCUUGGACAAUGGGGGCAACCCUGAUCCAGCCAUGCCGCGUGGGUGAAGAAGGCCUUAGGGUUGUAAAGCCCUUUCAGUCGUGACGAUGAUGACGGUAGCGACAGAAGAAGCCCCGGCUAACUCCGUGCCAGCAGCCGCGGUAAUACGGAGGGGGCAAGCGUUGUUCGGAUUUACUCGGCGUAAAGGGCGCGUAGGCGGACGGUCAAGUCAGAGGUGAAAGGCCCGGGCUCAACCUGGGACGUGCCUUUGAAACUGAUUGUCUUGAGUGCGGGAGAGGGUGACGGAAUUCCCAGUGUAGAGGUGAAAUUCGUAGAGAUCGGCAGGAACACCCAGGGGGAAACCAGCAUACUGGACAGGUCCUGACACUCAGGUGCGACAGCGUGGGGAGCGAACCGGAUUAGAUACCCGUGUAGUCC
rnacentral:rRNA from 1 species